GAUGAAGAACGCAGUGAAAUGCGAGAAGUAAUGUGAAUUGCAGAAUUCCGUGAAUCAUCGAAUCUUUGAACGCACAUUGCGCCCUCUGGUAUUCCGGGGGGCAUGCCUGUCCGAGCGUCAUUUGCAACCCUCAAGCCCGGCUUGUGUGAUGGGUGCCGUCCCCUACGGGACGCGCCCCGAAGGCAAUGGCGGCGUCGCGGUUAUCCGAUCAGCCAAAGUGUAUGGGGCUUUGUCACUCACUUUACGGCCCGGACCGGCGCCAGUCCGAAUCAAUCUUUUUUCUAAAGUUGACCUCGGAUCAGGCAGGGAUACCCGCUGAACUUAAGCAUAUCAAUAAGCGGAGGA
rnacentral:misc_RNA from 1 species